rnacentral:lncRNA from 1 species
AUGCUGCUGUUGGUUGUGUUCAGAUCUAAGCAAGCUUUCAUAGUUAACAAUGUGAUGACAUCACCAUCGCCUUCACACACCAGCAAGAACAUGUCUGCUGCAUCCACAUUUAAAUCCCUAAUUGCCUUGUAAAUUAGCCACUGUUUCCAAGAGCUAAGUUAUCCUUUCAAGGAUAUUUCCAUGCUUGUACUAUCUACUCUAAUGAAUAUAAUAGAAAGAAACAUUGCUCAACACUCUGAAAUAUCAGCCUGAAAAGAAAAAGAUUUACUACAAAAGAUAAUUACUUUAGAAGGACCUAAAACAAUACAAUGCUGUCAAAUCAGAUACAAAUUAAUCAACUACUAGGGACUGAAUGUAUCAGAAACACAAGAUUACCUCCCCAUUAUCUUUAAACACCUAUACGUUACAUCAUUCUAAAUAAAAUCGGAAGUGAAAUCCUGAGUUUGUGUGUAAGUACAAGUCAGAGAGCUACAGUUGGCAUGUGGACCCAUGCCUAAAUUUGAUUCUGUAUUCUUUGAUAUGCCAAGUAACAGCUAGUCUCCUGCACGUUACUACGGCAUGCUAAACACAACGCACUACACGGGACAAGGACAAGUAGCAGCAGUGAGAUGUAAAGAGUAAGCCUGGUAGAGUGUUUAUGAUGCUGAUCUUUUUUUAAUAACUAGGAUAUAAGAUAUCAAAACCUAUAUUUGAAAUAGUGAUCAUGUUAUAAACCAAGAAUGAGGGUUAGCCUAAUUAUGUGACCCACAUACAUUAAAAAGGAAACUAAACUUUGUGGGACAUAUUAUGUUAAAUAUGACUCAAAAAUAUUAUUUUACAAUUUGCAAACAAAACUUUUAUAUGUCCAUUGGAUCCUUGUCCAAAACCAAAAAUUAAAGAAAACCAUUCUUAGUUUUCCCUUCGAUUCUGUCUUCUCACGGAGCCCAGCACACAGCUAUCAGUUGAUAAGCAGCUAGAGAGAUGAAUUCUUAUUUUUUAUAGUGACAGGUUCCAGAAAUGCACAUACUUAGUUGCCAUCUUCUUGCACUGAUAGUCUGCAAGUAAGUAAAUGUCUCCCCUUGUGGUGACACAGACUGUGGCACCAUCACUUGCAGCUACCAAAGACACAGCGAUAUCCUUGUGAUGAAGGGCAGAGACUUGGCGAGGGGUUGUGACACACUUUUCACCAUUGGGAUCCAGUAAGUGACCUAAAAAUUUACACAAGUAAGCAAACCGUCACAUACCUAUUCUAAGAUCAUACUGUAGCAUUUGAAUAUUGCCAUGAAAUAUUUCUUACCCAACUGUCCACCAUUCAGUCCCAGUGUGUAAACGGCUUCUCGAGUCCACAGCACCGUAUGAAACCUGCCCGCUGCUACUCCAAUGAUAGUCCUUCCUUUCAGAUAUUUUGCCUGUAUCUAUUUAAAAUGACAAGUAAGACUGUAGUUGACUACAUAUUUAAAAUCUAGUGCAGGUUUCUCUAAGAUACAAGUACACCCUCCUCACUGCUACUGCCUUAGCAACUGCUAACGUCUCAUGUCAUCACUCAUGACAAGUCACAAAUCUCAGAACACAGUGAUGCAGCCACUUCCGGACAUCAGCAGUGCAAGUUGUUAAUGAUGGAGUUUUCUUUUAAUAGAUGAUAAACACACUAGAUGUCUUCUUAUAAACAGAGAAAAAAACAAAUCAGACUUUCCUGGUACGUAAUAAGUAAUAAACUAAGUUUUUUUUCAAUUACCACCAAAUUUUAGUAACAUAAAAACUAACAUUCUAAACCAAAGUAACAUUAUAUAAAACCCAGAUCAUCAAAAUUUUAGCAAUAAUAAGCAAUAUAUAAAACAACCAUUCUUUAAAAACUGGUGAUUUUUAAAUCUGAAAUAUCCAGGGUCUCACAAUGGUAAGAAGCUUGACAGUCUGGCCCAGAUGACUUUCCUCCAUGAGGGAAUGUCUUAUGCAUAUCUGGACUCUACCCAACAGAGCUGUCACUGGCCUCUCCAUCCCACUCCUGCUUAAACUGUCUUCAAACGGUCAUGCGACCCCUGCCUAGGAAAUCAAAGCUGGUUAUCAACUCAGGCUCUUACGGUGGCCAUAACUCCACAAAGUUAAAUACCCACACGUUGACAGUAAGUUAGAGAACACAGAUCUUUUUGAAAAUAUCCAACUAGACACUCCCCACAAAUCUCCUGCAGUAAUACUACUGAUCCAUUAGCAAUCCAGAAGAGAAAAGAGGAAGACUUCCAUACUUAACUAAGAAUGUCAAUUCAAUAGUAAUUCUAGAAACAGGAUUGAACUAAAAAGGAAUUUCGCAUGUAAGACUUCAAGUGUGGUGUCCUGAAACUAUCUGCCAUAGGUGACAAAUCUAACACUUUCAUUUGGGGGACUCGGCGUUCAUCUGAGUAGUCCAAGGACAAGGCUGCUAUAUCUGGGGAAUGGGCACCUUCUGAUGGUGGUCAUGGGCUGGAGUGGUGGCCUGAACCACACACCCUCGGGUAAGCAGGUGAGACACCUGAGUAGACACACAGGUAAAUAAGCAAAGGCUUUUCUUCUUUUUCUUGUAUUUAUUUAUUUAUUUGUAGUACCUUGCUUGUUCAGGUAUAAUUAUAUUGAUAGAUUUCAAAAAAAUAACCAUUUAAGUUUCAAACUAUAAAAAUCCAGGGCUGAGGGUAAACUUAGGUAGUAAAAAUCUUGUCUAGCUUGUAAGAAUCUUGAUUUCAAUCCCUAGAACC